rnacentral:lncRNA from 1 species
GUGGACUCUGUGGGUUUCUAAUGAAAAUUCCUUUGUAGCCUCACGGCAGGAUUUCCCACCAUUUUUCUUUUUCUGAUGAAAUUAACUCCCUGUGGUUGGUCAGCAGGAUAAUCUAAUUUUAGCCAAUCAGCUUGGGAGCUGCCAUUGACCUCACAAAGGGAGAGAACGUUACCUGCAGUCAUGGCAACGCGGAGCUCAGCUCUGAUCAUCUCUGGAUCCUUUGGAGUAAUGAAAGACACCGGCUUGCUUUUGAGAUGAUUAAUCUUUUCCCCUGUGAACCUACUUGAAUACAUUAGCAAAACAAGUAUGAUAAAUUUGUUUAUCCCAAGACAAUCAUUAGAAAAUUACCUGCAAAAGUAAUUCUCACUAGGGCUGGGGCUGUGAAUGGUGCACCAUAUGGCGGGGAGACCUGAGAUGAGCAGCCCAGCCCCUCCUUCACCCCCGCUGGCUGCAACAGGUUGGGGAAGUUGAUGAGUUUUCAGCUGUCAGACAAGCAUGUGGGGAAGAGAGAGUCACACAGACGUUGGAAGGACAAGAAAAUAGCACACAUGUCAACACACUAGUGAAGCUGAGAACAUUUACUGAAGCGAUUGAUCCCAUCCUGGGGUUUCCUGGAGGCAUCAUUUGCCCACAGGACUGCAAUUGCAAAGCCCUUAGGAGAAACAAACAGGGCUCCAACCUCCAACAGAAGAGUGUAUCUGUCGCCAUAAAACAGGGAUGGAGAGGCCUUGAGGCCCCAAAUGUCACCACAGAGCAAAAUGAAAAUGCAAGGAAUGAAUCUUUCCCUAAACAUUAUCCUUCCCCUUCUCUGUUUCACUAAUUAAUAACUAGAUGGCAUUGAUCUUUGUGAUCCCAUUUGGGAUUUUCUUGACAAAGAUUCUGGAGUAGUUUGCCUUUUCCUUCUCCAACUCAUUUUACAGAUGAGGAAACUGAGUCACUUAAGUGACUUGCCCAGGGGUCCCACAGUUAGUAAGUGUCUAAGGCUAGAUUUGAACUCAUGAAGAUGUUUCCUUAAAUUCAAGCUCCUUAUUCUAACCCAUGUGCCACCUAGUAUAUAUAACAGCUUAAUUCACGAGAUCUAAAGUCAUGAGACUUUAGACCUGAAAGAGAGGUUGCAGCUCAUUUAGUCCUGCUCACUCAUUUUAUAAAUAGAAAAACUGAGUCACCCAGGAGGUAAGUGGUCAGAUGAGAGUAAACCAAGCACUGAAAACUCUUUCUUUAAUGCCUUUUGGCCAGAUCAGACUGACCUUUCCCUUGUCAAGUCAAGUAGCAUUUAUGCUAAUGCUAAGUGCUAAGAAUUUUACAAAUAUUAACUGAUUUGAUCCUAACAACAACCUAAUAGGGGUAGGAACCACUAUUAUCCCUAUUUUACAAAUGAGGAAACUAAGGAAGGCAGAAGUUAAGUGGCUUGUCCUGGCUCACUCAGGGCAGAUUUGAACUCGAGCCUUCCUGAUUCCAGACUCAGUGCUCACACUACUGUACUACUUAGCUACCUGUCAAUUAUGACCAAAAAAAAAAACAUCAAAGCAAAAAUUUCAGACAUGGAAACUUCAUCUGACAAAGUAUAUAAUGGAAUGUCAUAAUAUUCUUUCACUUUUACCAUGAAAAAGACCUGUUUUACCAACUUUCCUCCAAGGACCUUGAAAUACUAGACAAGCUUUUUAGCCAUAGAAAUGUCAGCUGGUCUGUUCUGUUCUCCAACCUCCCUUCGACAUGGCUCCAGAUUGGUAUUCCAAAAACAGAAAAUGGACCACAUCACCCACCUGCUCAGAAAGCACCAAUGGUUUACCCUCUAUUGCCACUAAGACAAAAUGGGGGCU